GACGAACGCUGGCGGCGUGCUUAACACAUGCAAGUCGAACGGAAAGGCCCUGCUUUUGUGGGGUGCUCGAGUGGCGAACGGGUGAGUAACACGUGAGUAACCUGCCCUUGACUUUGGGAUAACUUCAGGAAACUGGGGCUAAUACCGGAUAGGAGCUCCUGCUGCAUGGUGGGGGUUGGAAAGUUUCGGCGGUUGGGGAUGGACUCGCGGCUUAUCAGCUUGUUGGUGGGGUAGUGGCUUACCAAGGCUUUGACGGGUAGCCGGCGUGAGAGGGUGACCGGCCACAUUGGGGCUGAGAUACGGCGCAGACUCCGACGGGAGGCAGCAGUGGGGAAUAUUGCACAAUGGGCGGAAGCCUGAUGCAGAAACGCCGCGUGCGGGAUGAGGGCCUUCGGGUUGUAAACCGUUUUCGCCUGUGACGAAGCGUGAGUGACGGUAAUGGGUAAAGAAGCACCGGCUAACUACGUG
rnacentral:rRNA from 1 species